AAGAUGUCUGACCCCGUAACGACUGAAGCUUAAGUGCUGAGAUAUAAGUUUAAUACACUUAUAUAAGAUGCCAACUCCUAUAUUACCCCUUUGGGUGGUGUAGGUUGAAGAUAUAGUCUGCGCCAUUAGUAAUAAUGGAAUAAGUGACGGCCCAUACACCUACGGGUGGCAGCAACAGGGAAUCGUACGCAAUGGACGAAAGUCUGACGUCGCAAUGCCGCGUGGAGGAUGAAGGCCUUCGGGUCGUAAACUCCUUUUACAGUAAUAGAGAUGUUAUUGAGAAUAAGCACCUGCUAACUCUGUGCCAGCAGCAGCGGUAAUACAGAGGGUGCAAGCGUUAUCCGGAUUUAUUGGGCGUAAAGCGUUUCGUAGGUUUCUAGAUAAGUUACUCUUCAAAGACCACGGCUCAACCGGGGGAAGGGGAGUAAUACUAUCUGGAUUGAAAUAUGGUGGGGCUUCCGGAACUGAUGGUGUAGUAGUGAAAUACGUUGAUAUCAUCAGGAACUCCGAGGGCGAAGGCAGGAAGCUAACUAUUUUUUGACACUGAUGAACGACAGCUAGGGGAGCGAAAGGGAUUAGAGACCCCUGUAGUCCUAGCCGUAAACUUUGCUCGCUAGGGAUGGGGCCGUAAGGCUUCGUCCCGUAAGCUAACGCGUUAAGCGAGCCGCCUGGGGAGUACGGCCGCAAGGCUAAAACUCAAAGGAAUUGACGGGGACCCGCACAACCAGUGGAGCAUGUGGUUUAAUUCGAGACGAAACGAAAGACCUCACCCAGCCUUGACAUAAUACCGUUUUAAGCACCCAGAAAUGGGAGCCUAUCUUUAGAAAUAUUGAUGGUACUACAGGUGUUGCAUGGCCGUCGUCAGCUCGUGCCGUAGGGUGUUCCCUUCAGUGGGGUAACGAGCGCAACCCUUGUCCUGAGUUGAAUAUUCUCAGGAGACUCUUUGAAUUUAUUUCAGAGGGAAGUGAGGACGACGUCAGGUCAGCAUGGCCCUUAUAGCUGGGGCAACACACAUACUACAAUGGAGCCGACAGAGGGUUGCCAAGUGGCAACACGGAGCUAAUCCCAAAAACGGCUUCUCAGUGGGGAUUGGGGGCUGCAACUCGCCCCCAUGAACUUGGAAUUGGUAGUAAUCGCGGAUCAGCAUGCCGCGGUGAAUACGUUCUCGGGUCUUGUACACACCGCCGUAAUUUAAUUAACGCGCGUGGCAGUUAAGUUUUCCAGUAGGUUAAAAUCCUACCCCUUAGGAUACAUACAUAUCUGAUAGGGUAGCCAAAAAA
rnacentral:rRNA from 1 species